GCUGUCACUUGCAGAUGGGCUGCGGCGCAUUAGCUAGUUGGUGAGGUAACGGCUCACCAAGGCGACGAUGCGUAGCCGACCUGAGAGGGUGAUCGGCCACACUGGGACUGAGACACGGCCCAGACUCCUACGGGAGGCAGCAGUAGGGAAUCUUCCGCAAUGGACGAAAGUCUGACGGAGCAACGCCGCGUGAGUGAGGAAGGCCUUCGGGUCGUAAAGCUCUGUUGCCAGGGAAGAACGCCAAGGAGAGUAACUGCUCUUUGGGUGACGGUACCUGAGAAGAAAGCCCCGGCUAACUACGUGCCAGCAGCCGCGGUAAUACGUAGGGGGCGAGCGUUGUCCGGAAUUAUUGGGCGUAAAGCGCGCGCAGGCGGCUUUGUAAGUCUUGUGUCUAAACCCGGGGCUCAACCCCGGGGAGCACGGGAAACUGCAAGGCUUGAGUGCAGAAGAGGAAAGUGGAAUUCCACGUGUAGCGGUGAAAUGCGUAGAGAUGUGGAGGAACACCAGUGGCGAAGGCGAC
rnacentral:rRNA from 1 species